GAUGAACGCUAGCGGCAGGCUUAAUACAUGCAAGUCGAGGGGCAGCACGAAUAGCAAUAUUUGGUGGCGACCGGCGCACGGGUGCGUAACACGUAUACAAUCUACCUAAAACAGGGGGAUAGCCUUUCGAAAGAGAGAUUAAUACCCCGUAAUAUAUUGAAUGGCAUCAUUUGAUAUCGAAAGCUCCGGCGGUUUUAGAUGAGUAUGCGUCUGAUUAGCUAGUUGGUGAGGUAACGGCUCACCAAGGCGACGAUCAGUAGGGGAUCUGAGAGGACUAACCCCCACACUGGUACUGAGACACGGACCAGACUCCUACGGGAGGCAGCAGUAAGGAAUAUUGGUCAAUGGAGGCAACUCUGAACCAGCCAUGCCGCGUGCAGGAAGAAGGCCCCUAUGGGUCGUAAACUGCUUUUGUACCAGAGAAAACCCGAGUACGUGUACUCGGUUGAUAGUAUGGUAAGAAUAAGCAUCGGCUAACUUCGUGCCAGCAGCCGCGGUAAU
rnacentral:rRNA from 1 species